AUUGAACGCUGGCGGCAGGCCUAACACAUGCAAGUCGAACGAGUGGGGACGGGUGAGUAACACGUGGGUAACCUCCCAUCAGAGGGGAUAACACUUGGAAAUAGGUGCUAAACCGAUACUGCUGGAUGGACCCGCGGUGCAUUAGCUAGUUGGGGGGGUACAGGCUCACCAAGGCCACGAUGCAUAGAUGAUCUGAGAGGGUGAUCAGCCACACUGUAACUGAGACACGGCCCAGACUCCUACGGGAGGCAGCAGUGGGGAAUCUUCGGCAAUGGGCGAAAGUCUGACCGAGCAACGCCGCGUGAGUGAAGAAGGUUUUCGGAUCGUAAAACUCUGUUAUUAGAGAAGCGGUAUCUAACCAGAAAGCCACGGCUAACUACGUGCCAGCAGCCGCGGUAAUAC
rnacentral:rRNA from 1 species